rnacentral:rRNA from 1 species
AGAGUUUGAUCCUGGCUCAGAACGAACGCUGGCGGCGCGUCUUAAGCAUGCAAGUCGGGCGGGAUCCAUGCGCUUGCGCAUGGUGAGAGCGGCGGACUGGCGGGUAACACGUGGGCGACGCGCCCUCCGGACGGGAAUAGCCUGUAGAAAUACAGGGUAAUGCCGGAUGCGAACGCGCGCGCUGGAGGCGCGCGUGGAAAGCCCCCACGGGGGCGCCGGAGGAGCGGCCCGCGGCCCAUCAGCUUGUAGGCGGUGCAAGGGACCACCUAGGCUACGACGGGUACCCGGCCUCAGAGGGCGGACGGGCGCAUUGGGACUGAGAUACGGCCCAGACUCCUACGGGAGGCAGCAGCUAAGAAUAUUCCGCAAUGGGGGGAACCCUGACGGAGCGACGCCGCGUGGGCGAGGAAGGCCGGAAGGUUGUAAAGCCCUUUUGCGCGCGAGGAAUAAGGGGAGGAGGGAAUGCCUUCCCGGUGACUGUAGCGCGCGAAUAAGCGCCGGCUAAUUACGUGCCAGCAGCCGCGGUAACACGUAAGGCGCGAGCGUUGUUCGGAAUCAUUGGGCGUAAAGGGCGUGUAGGCGGCCCUGCAAGCCUGGCGUGAAAUCCCGGGGCUCAACCCCGGAACCGCGCUGGGAACUGCUGGGCUGGAGCCGCCGUGGCGCAGCCGGAAUUCCAGGUGUAGGGGUGAAAUCUGUAGAUAUCUGGAAGAACACCGAUGGCGAAGGCAGGCUGCGAGCGGACGGCUGACGCUGAGGCGCGAAGGCGCGGGGAGCGAACAGGAUUAGAUACCCUGGUAGUCCGCGCAGUAAACGAUGAACACUGGGUGUCCGGGCAUGAGCCCGGGUGCCGAAGCGAACGCGUUAAGUUGCCGCCUGGG